CCGGCUUGCGCCUGCCACGCACACCCAGCGCAGGGGAAUGCGGACUGGGGCUGAGGGGAUGGAAGGCGGCUCGUGCGCCUCACAGAUUAUUGCAAACUGGAUGCUCUUUGUGGAUAAAAGAUGUAUCAUGGAAUGAAUGCGAGCAGCGGGGAUCCAUUCCUAGAGAAGCAGCAGCAGCAGUCCCCAUGUCUCCGGAGACUCUUCGUGGUGGUCUUGUGGCUUCAGCUGGCGCUAUGCUUUGGCCCUGCACAGAUCACUGGCGUUUCAGUUGGACAGGCCAACACUCAC